UGGCCACAACACGUCGAAACACCGGUCCCCGUAUGAUCACCGAAGUUAAGCAACGUUGAGCCUGGUCAGUAUCUAGAUGGGUGACCGCUUGG